rnacentral:rRNA from 1 species
GGUGCGCAACGCGUAGGAACGUGCCUUGUGGUGGGGGACAACGCUGGGAAACUGGCGCUAAUACCGCAUAUGUCCUGAGGGACAAAGCCUGUGAGGGCGCCAUGGGAGCGGCCUGCGUCCGAUUAGCUUGUUGGUGGGGUAAAGGCUUACCAAGGCGUCGAUCGGUAGCUGGUCUGAGAGGAUGAUCAGCCACACUGGGACUGAGACACGGCCCAGACUCCUACGGGAGGCAGCAGUGGGGAAUAUUGGACAAUGGGCGCAAGCCUGAUCCAGCAAUUCCGCGUGGGUGAAGAAGGUCUUCGGAUUGUAAAGCCCUUUCGGCGGGGACGAUGAUGACGGUACCCGCAGAAGAAGCCCCGGCUAACUUCGUGCCAGCAGCCGCGGUAAUACGAAGGGGGCUAGCGUUGCUCGGAAUGACUGGGCGUAAAGGGCGCGUAGGCGGCGUGGUAAGUCAGGCGUGAAAUUCCCGGGCUCAACCUGGGGGCUGCGCUUGAGACUGCUGUGCUUGAGGGUGAGAGAGGCUCGUGGAAUUCCCAGUGUAGAGGUGAAAUUCGUAGAUAUUGGGAAGAACACCGGUGGCGAAGGCGGCGAGCUGGCUCAUUACUGACGCUGAGGCGCGAAAGCGUGGGGAGCAAACAGGAUUAGAUACCCU